ensembl:lncRNA
CCCGCGGCUCCGCCUUUCCCCAAACUCCGGGUGAAUCGUUUACAGCUCUUCGACGUGUUCUACUCAGGCCACCUGAUUUUACAGAGGAGAAAACUGAGGCUCAGAAGAUUUAGGUGCAAAGGAGCUUGUGGAACCAAAUUCCGCUGUGGGCUUCACCACCCCAACUAUGCAACAUUGAAGUGUAUGAUGGAUUGAAAUCCUGCCGACCUGGAGUUUUCUAAAUGGUGACUGUGGAGAGAUGCCAAGGAAACUGAAUGGUGCCAAAUGCAGAAUCCUCAAGUUGCUCUCUAAACCAACAGAAAUUCAUUUGGGAGCUGGAUUUCACUGAGGCAGGAAGUAUUUCACCUACAAAGAUAGUGCAUGUGUGGAGAUUAUAUUUGGGAUCAGGAAAUAAAGAAGAAAAGUAAAGCUACAUUGUAUUUCAGUAGACAGAAGAGAACAUUCCCUGAAGAGAAGACCAAUGACCUUCUGUGAGGGAAGAAAGAAUGCUUCAGCAAUGGUUUAUAACUACAUGUAUUUAAAAUGUUUCCUUUAGAGUAAAUUAACUGUGGAAUAAGCGCAAUGCAUUUUGAAGAUACAAACACAGAUGUAAAAAGAUCCAGAGUUAUUUCAAAUUUUAAAAUGUAUAUGUGUGUGUGUGUGUGUGUUAGUAGCUCAGUCAUGUCUGACUCUUUGU